CAAUAGCGUAUAUUAAAGCUGUUGCGGCUAAAAAGCUCGUAGUUGGAUUUCUGUCAAGGACAACUGGUCCGCCCCUCGGGUGAGCACAUAGUUUGGUCUUGGCAUCUUGCUGGAAACUGUUGCUGCACUUGGUUGUGUGGCGCAGUGUCCAGCACUUUCACUUUGAGGAAAUUGGAGUGUUUCAAGCAGGCACAUGCCUUUGGACACAGUAGCAUGGAAUAAUUAGAUUGGGCUUUUGCUCCAACUUGUCGGUUUCUGGAGCUGAGGUGAGAAUUAAUGGGGAUUGUUGGGGGCAUCCGAAUUUAGCCGUCAGAGGUGAAAUUCUUGGAUCUGCUAAAGACGGACAACUGCGAAAGCGUUUGCCCAGGAUGUUUUCAUUGA
rnacentral:rRNA from 1 species